rnacentral:rRNA from 1 species
AACCUGGUUGAUCCUGCCAGUAGUCAUAUGCUUGUCUCAAAGACUAAGCCAUGCAUGUCUAAGUAUAAACGCUUCUAUACUGUGAAACUGCGAAUGGCUCAUUAAAUCAGUUAUAGUUUAUUUGAUGGUUUCUUACUACUUGGAUAACCGUGGUAAUUCUAGAGCUAAUACAUGCACAAAGUCCCGACUCUUCGGAAGGGAUGUAUUUAUUAGAUCCAAAACCAAUGCGAGUCUCUCGGGGCUCGGUUCCUUGGUGAUUCAUGAUAACUGCUCGAACCGUAUGGCCCUUGCGCCGACGGUGCUUCAUUCAAAUUUCUGCCCUAUCAACUUUCGAUGGUACGGUAGUGGCCUACCAUGGUUGCAACGGGUGACGGAGAAUUAGGGUUCGAUUCCGGAGAGGGAGCCUGAGAAACGGCUACCACAUCCAAGGAAGGCAGCAGGCGCGCAAAUUACCCAAUCCCGACUCGGGGAGGUAGUGACAAUAAAUAACAAUGCCGGGCUAUUGUAGUCUGGCAAUUGGAAUGAGUACAAUCUAAAUCCCUUAACGAGGAACAAUUGGAGGGCAAGUCUGGUGCCAGCAGCCGCGGUAAUUCCAGCUCCAAUAGCGUAUAUUAAAGUUGUUGCAGUUAAAAAGCUCGUAGUUGGAUUUCGGGGUGGCCUGCCUGGUCCACCGCAAGGUGAGUACUGGUCAGCCGCCCUUCCUCUCGAAAGCCCCGACUGCUCUUUACUGCAGUGGUCGGGUAGUUCGGGACGUUUACUUUGAAAAAAUUAGAGUGUUCAAGGCAGGCUAUCGCCUGAAUACAUUAGCAUGGAAUAAUGGAAGAGGACCUCGGUCCUAUUUUGUUGGUUUCUAGGGCCGAAGUAAUGAUUAAGAGGGGCAGUUGGGGGGCAUUCGUAUUUAAAUUGUCAGAGGUGAAAUUCUUGGA